rnacentral:misc_RNA from 1 species
GGCAAACGAGCCAAAAUUUAUAUAUAUAUAAAUAUAUAUAUUUUGCUAUAUGUAGAUUUGAGCACACACUCGGAGAGUGAGUUGGCAUAUGUGUGGCCCGUGUCCAUGUGCUUAUUUGCAUAGUUUGGUAUGCUUUGGCAAUUUUUGUCAAUAUGCCAUGCACUUCAUCAAACUAGACGACUCUGGGGCUCACUGCUCUGCUGUGCUGCGUCGAUAAGACGUCUUUUGUGUGCCAACUCUUUGGUGGCUUACAGCUGAAAUGAGAUAAGUUAAAUGACUUUGCAUAUUUAGUCACAAUUCAUGGGACACGCUUUAAAAUUGAAUUUGACUCUGAUGCAUAAAUAAGCCGGCCGAGAAUUCAUAACAUUAUAUUUUACAAUUUAUCAAGUAAUUCGAUUUGAGAGAGCCAAAAUCGCUUGAAUUGCAGCCUGAUGCCAUAUAGAUAGCCAGCUCAGGCAAAUUAGCCUGUAAUCAAAUAAGUUAACGAGCAGUAAACAACUGACAAUUGAUGCAUAUAAUUGCACUUGCUGACAAAAUUCAACAAUUGGCAAAAUUUUCAAACCUAAUUACGUUACGACGACGAGGAGUUGUAUCAAUGCCCGUUGCUUCCAUUGUCGAAUGACAAUCUCAGAAUCGCCGGAGUCAUCCAGUCUCCGACUAGAGAGGGAUUGGCUACCAGUGCAUCGUUAAAAGUAUUAAAUAUUAUGAAUCAUCGAUUUAUAUGCUGGAGAAUAUCAGGAAUAUCAGAAUCCAAUAUAAAAGGAGUAACUGCCAGUACAUUCUUCAAAAGAUUAAAUAUAUCAUCUACUUAUAUGCUGAAUAAUAUCAGGAUUAUCCGG